UCCUGGUUUCCCAGGCAGUCUCACUAAAGUGCCUUGCAAAGCAAGUAGCAACUAGCAACAAGGGUUGCGCUCGUUAAAGGACUUAACCCAACAUCUCACGACACGAGCUGACGACAGCCAUGCAGCACCUGUUCUUGAGUCUGAGCUUUCACCCAGAAGACUCUAUCUCUAGAGCUGUCUCAAGUAUGUCAAACCCAGGUAAGGUUCCUCGCGUAGUGUCGAAUUAAACCACAUGUUCCACCGCUUGUUCGGACCCCCGUCAAUUCCUUUAAGUUUUAGUCUUGCGACCGUACUCCCCAGGCGAAUCACUUAACGCGUUAGCUACGACACUGACCCGGAAAACCAGGCCAACAUCUAGUGAUUAUCGUUUACGGCGUGGACUAC
rnacentral:misc_RNA from 1 species